rnacentral:rRNA from 1 species
UUCCGUGAUUAUGGCGUAAGGGUUCCACCUUUUACCAUUCCGAACAGAGAAGUUAAGCCUUACUGCGCCGAUGGUACUGCACUUCGUGUGUGGGAGAGUAGGUCGUUGCCGGAU